rnacentral:misc_RNA from 1 species
UUAAGUUCAGCGGGUAUCCCUACCUGAUCCGAGGUCAACCUUUGUAAAAGAGGGGGGUUGCUGGCUAGCACCACCUGGGCAUCCGGACGCGCGAUAAUACUACUACGCGUGGAGCCAGGACGGCACCGCCACUAAUUUUGAAGCUCGUCGGCGCACCGACAUAGCCCAAUACCAAGCAGAGCUUGAGGGUUGAAAUGACG